CUGGAUUAAAGGAACACCAUAAAUGAGAGAUGGCAAGCUGUGGUCCAUGGGCCCAUUCCAGCUCACCUGUUUUGUAGGACUGCACUACUUGGCUACGUGUGGUUGAAUGAGAUCAAAUGACUAGUCCGGGACAACGAGCUGAAAGCAGGAGUGAUGUGUCACUUUCCAGGAUGGAGCGUUUUGUUGCCACAAGACCCUCUGAGCAGUCUAUCCUUCCAACAUUGUGAAUCAACGUCAGAGCGGAUAGCUGCUCCAUUAGCCUGGGUGCCUGAAUAACUGUGAUGAGCAGAGGACACUGCCCAUCUGCAAUGGACAUGUAGCCAGUGGGACUUGUCACUGAGCAAGAAAUAGGCUUUGCUGUGUUAAGUCUUUGAAAUUUAAGGGAUCUUUUGUUACUACAGUAUAAUAUAGCCUAUACUGACUGAUACAUGGCUAAAUAAAUGGUAUUUGUGACUACUA